rnacentral:rRNA from 1 species
AAAUUGAAGAGUUUGAUCAUGGCUCAGAUUGAACGCUGGCGGCAGGCCUAACACAUGCAAGUCGAGCGGUAGCACAGAAGAGCUUGCUCUUCGGGUGACGAGCGGCGGACGGGUGAGUAAUGUCUGGGAAACUGCCUGAUGGAGGGGGAUAACUACUGGAAACGGUAGCUAAUACCGCAUAACGUCUUCGGACCAAAGAGGGGGACCUUCGGGCCUCUUGCCAUCGGAUGUGCCCAGAUGGGAUUAGCUAGUAGGUGAGGUAAUGGCUCACCUAGGCGACGAUCCCUAGCUGGUCUGAGAGGAUGACCAGCCACACUGGAACUGAGACACGGUCCAGACUCCUACGGGAGGCAGCAGUGGGGAAUAUUGCACAAUGGGCGCAAGCCUGAUGCAGCCAUGCCGCGUGUGUGAAGAAGGCCUUCGGGUUGUAAAGCACUUUCAGCGGGGAGGAAGGCGAUAAGGUUAAUAACCUUGUCGAUUGACGUUACCCGCAGAAGAAGCACCGGCUAACUCCGUGCCAGCAGCCGCGGUAAUACGGAGGGUGCAAGCGUUAAUCGGAAUGACUGGGCGUAAAGCGCACGCAGGCGGUCUGUUAAGUUGGAUGUGAAAUCCCCGGGCUUAACCUGGGAACUGCAUUCAAAACUGACAGGCUAGAGUCUUGUAGAGGGGGGUAGAAUUCCAGGUGUAGCGGUGAAAUGCGUAGAGAUCUGGAGGAAUACCGGUGGCGAAGGCGGCCCCCUGGACAAAGACUGACGCUCAGGUGCGAAAGCGUGGGGAGCAAACAGGAUUAGAUACCCUGGUAGUCCACGCUGUAAACGAUGUCGACUUGGAGGUUGUGCCCUUGAGGCGUGGCUUCCGGAGCUAACGCGUUAAGUCGACCGCCUGGGGAGUACGGCCGCAAGGUUAAAACUCAAAUGAAUUGACGGGGGCCCGCACAAGCGGUGGAGCAUGUGGUUUAAUUCGAUGCAACGCGAAGAACCUUACCUACUCUUGACAUCCACAGAAUUUGGUAGAGAUACCUUAGUGCCUUCGGGAACUGUGAGACAGGUGCUGCAUGGCUGUCGUCAGCUCGUGUUGUGAAAUGUUGGGUUAAGUCCCGCAACGAGCGCAACCCUUAUCCUUUGUUGCCAGCACGUAAUGGUGGGAACUCAAAGGAGACUGCCGGUGAUAAACCGGAGGAAGGUGGGGAUGACGUCAAGUCAUCAUGGCCCUUACGAGUAGGGCUACACACGUGCUACAAUGGCGUAUACAAAGAGAAGCGACCUCGCGAGAGCAAGCGGACCUCAUAAAGUACGUCGUAGUCCGGAUUGGAGUCUGCAACUCGACUCCAUGAAGUCGGAAUCGCUAGUAAUCGUAGAUCAGAAUGCUACGGUGAAUACGUUCCCGGGCCUUGUACACACCGCCCGUCACACCAUGGGAGUGGGUUGCAAAAGAAGUAGGUAGCUUAACCUUCGGGAGGGCGCUUACCACUUUGUGAUUCAUGACUGGGGUGAAGUCGUAACAAGGUAACCGUAGGGGAACCUGCGGUUGGAUCACCUCCUUA